rfam:Valsa mali var. pyri strain SXYL134 contig2817, whole genome shotgun sequence.
GCGGGGAUAGCUCAGUUGGGAGAGCGUCAGACUGAAGUUCAACUUCAUUCUAUCCAUUGGAUAUCUGAAGGUCGUGUGUUCAAUCCACACUCACCGCA